UACGAAGGUCCCAAGCGUUGUUCGGAAUAACUGGGCGUAAAGCGUGUGUAGGCCGCACGGAAAGUCAAAUGUGAAAGCCCGAGGCUCAACCUCGGAACUGCAUUCGAUACUCCCGUGCUAGAGUGAUGGAGAGGUAAGUGGAAUUCUCGGUGUAGCAGUGAAAUGCGUAGAUAUCGAGAGGAACAUCAAUGGCGAAGGCAACUUACUGGACAUCUACUGACGCUCAGACACGAAGGCUAGGGUAGCGAAAGGG
rnacentral:rRNA from 1 species